rnacentral:rRNA from 1 species
CCCCAGGUGAUGACAGUGCCCGUCGUUGGGGUUCCCUGCUCUGUCGCCCACAUGCUCACUCUCUCCUCUUGCGCUGGGCCGUUGCCAGCAGCCGCGGUAAUUCCAGCUCCAAUAGCGUAUAUUAAAGUUGCUGCAGUUAAAAAGCUCGUAGUUGGAUCUUGGGAUCGAGCUGGCGGUCCGCCGCGAGGCGAGCUACCGCCUGUCCCAGCCCCUGCCUCUCGGCGCUCCCUUGAUGCUCUUAACUGAGUGUCCUGCAAGGUCCAAAAUGAUUACUUUGAAAAAAUUAGAGUGUUCAAAGCAGGCUGGUCACUGGAAUACUCCAGCUAGGAAUAAUGGAAUAGGACUCCGAUUCUAUUUUGUUGGUUUUGAACUGGAGCCAUGAUUAAGAGGGACAGCCGGGGGCAUUUGUAUUGUGCUGCUAGAGGUGAAAUUCUUGGACCAACGCAAGAUGGACCAAAGUGAAAGCAUUUGCCAAGAAUGUUUUCAUUAAUCAAGAACGAAAGUUGGAGAUUCGAAGAUGAUCAGAUACCGUCGUAGUUCUGACCAUAAACGAUGCCUACUCACGAUCUGGAAGCAUUAUUCCCGUGACCCGCUGGGAAGCCUACGAGAAACCAAAGUCUUUGGGUUCCGGGAGGAGUAUGGUUGCAAAGCUGAAACUUAAAGGAAUUGACGGAAGGGCACCACCAGGAGUGGAGCCUGGGACUUAAUUUGACGCAACAUGGGAAACCUCACCUGGCCCGGACACGGAAAGGAUUGACAGAUCGAUAGCGCUUUCUUGAUUCUGUGGGUAGUGGUGCAUGGCCCUUUUUAGUUGGUGGAGCGAUUUGUCUGGUUAAUUCUGAUAACGAACGAGACUCUGGCAUGCUAAUUAGGUAUGCGACCCCAAGCAGUCGGCGUCCUACUUCUUAGAGGGACAAGUGGCAUUCAGCCAUCUGAGAUUGAGCAAUAACAGGUCUGUGAUGCCCUUAGAUAUCUGGGGCUGCAUGCGCGCUACACUGACUGGCUCAGUGUGUGUCUACCCUAUGCCAACAACUGCGGGUAACCCGUUGAACCCCAUUUGUAAUGGGGACUAGGGAUUGCAAUUAUUCCCCAUGAAUGAGGAAUUCCCAGUAAGUGUGGGUCAUAAGCAUGUGUUGAUUAAGUCCCUGCCCUUUUCACACACCGCCCGUCACUACUACUGAUUGGAUGGUUUAGUGAGGUCCUCGGAUCGGCUCUGCCAGGGUCAAUCGCAGCCCUGGUGGAGUGCUGAGAAGACGGUUGAACUUGACUAUCUAGAGGAAUUAAAAGUUGCAAUAAUUUUUCCGUAUAUGAACCUGCGGAAG